CUGCAUGAGUUGUCUCCUGCUGUAAAUAUGGACAAAGAGUACUGUUGAUGGAAUUUAGGUGGACAUUAUGCUAGUUUUAGAUGCUCAUAAAGGACCAUCACACAUGU